UACGUAGGGUGCGAGCGUUAAUCGGAAUUACUGGGCGUAAAGCGUGCGCAGGCGGUUCGUUAUGUCCGAUGUGAAAGCCCCGAGCUUAACUUGGGAAUGGCAUUGGAAACUGGCGGGCUGGAGUGCGGCAGAGGGGGGGUGGAAUUCCACGUGUAGCAGUGAAAUGCGUAGAGAUGUGGAGGAACACCGAUGGCGAAGGCAGCCCCCUGGGCCGACACGUGACGCUCGAGGCACGAAAGCGUGGGGAGCAAACAGG
rnacentral:rRNA from 1 species